GGUCCAGUAGUGUAGCGGUUACACGCCCUUUUGAAAUGGAAGUGUUCCUAUCUGGUUUAUGAGGAAGACCCCGGCUCGAAUCCGGGCUGGACCU